UACGAAGGGGGCUAGCGUUGUUCGGAAUUACUGGGCGUAAAGCGCACGUAGGCGGAUUUGUAAGUCAGGGGUGAAAUCCCGGGGCUCAACCUCGGAACUGCCCUCCAAACUGCUUGGCUUGAGACCGGGAGAGGUGAGUGGAAUUCCCAGUGUAGCGGUGAAAUGCGUAGAUAUUGGGAGGAACACCAGUGGCGAAGGCGGCUCACUGGACCGGUACUGACGCUGAUGCGCGAAAGCGUGGGGAGCAAACGGG
rnacentral:rRNA from 1 species